rnacentral:rRNA from 1 species
GAUGAACGCUAGCGGGAGGCCUAAUACAUGCAAGUCGAACGGGUGAAUUAGCUUCGGUUGGUUCACUAGUGGCGCACGGGUGAGUAACGCGUACGCAAUCUGCCCUAUGCUGGGGAAUAGCCCUGGGAAACUGGGAGUAAUACGCCAUAGUUCUACGGAUCUGCAUGGAUUUGUAGAUAAAGCUGCGGCGGCAUAGGAUGAGCGUGCGUCUGAUUAGGUAGUUGGUGAGGUAACGGCUCACCAAGCCGACGAUCAGUAAGGGGCGUGAGAGCGUGGCCCCUCACACGGGUACUGAGACACGGACCCGACUCCUACGGGAGGCAGCAGUAAGGAAUAUUGGACAAUGGGCGCAAGCCUGAUCCAGCCAUCCCGCGUGCUUGAUGAAGGCCCUCUGGGUUGUAAAGAGCUUUAGUCUGGGAAGAAACCGUUUUCUGCGGAAGACGCUGACGGUACCAGAAGAAUAAGCACCGGCUAACUCCGUGCCAGCAGCCG